rnacentral:lncRNA from 1 species
AUGGGAAAUCUCCCAAUAUUUCUUGUAUCUUUUACCGGUUUUAUUGAAAUGAAAUAUUCAUAUCCAGUAUUUCUUAACACUGCAUCCUAUUUGACCCACAGGUACCUGAUUCAGGACCUACUAUCAGGAAAGCCUGCAAAGUCUUGGCUUAGGCACUCUGAGAUUGCUAUUUGGAAUUCUGCAGGGAUAUUAAACCAUCUGCCAGAGGAUUGCAGGUACAGAAAAAAAAAUAAGCAAAUAAAACAAGAACCAAACACACCUCCAGGGGAACAGAGGAUAAUGACCAGGCAUGGAGUGUGGCUGGGCGUGGAACAACAGAGUACAGAGAAGAAUCUAGAAGCUGAUUUCUGCUUCCCAGGGCGUCAGAAAUUGGCACUUCUGGGUAAGAUGCAUCCCUUCUUUCUUUCUGCAUCCCUUCUUUCCUUUUUAAAAUAUAGAAGUCUCAAAUAACCUCCUGCUUUUCUGACUUCCAAUUCGUGACAGUUUCCUGCAGCCCAGUCACUAAAUUUAACAGAAAAAGUAUAGCCCUAGAAGGUUAUAGAACCUCUUACUUGGUAAGAUGAAAAGCUCAGGGCUUGGCUGCCCAGGCCAAAGCCUGUACAUGAGCCUAUCUUUGCCCAGUGUGAAAAUACCUUUGGUACUCACUAGAGUCACAAGUUUUAGUCAUUCCUUGCCAAUCCAGCGGCUGGUUAUCUGAUGAAGAAUUUCUCUAGUGAUGCCUGCUACCCUCUGUACCUUGGAAAGUCAGGGAAGAGGGACACGGAAUUACAAAGUACUUGAUUCCACUUCCUAUGGACAGCUGUGCUAAUGAGUUUGGCUGGAUAGGAAAUGAAUAAAAUUAGUUAAGUUUAAUCCUUGGGUUUCUGUUUUCCAUUAAAAUAUAUAUAUAUAUAUAAUCAGUGGUGGAGUUAGAAUUCGCUCUGAAUUACCUGUGACCAUGGGCUGAGCUUUCCACUUGUCUGCAUCAGUGUUCUCCUUCAUAAAGAAGAGCAUUCAGGGCCCCUCCCAGCCCCUGUGACCCUCAGUAAUGUCCUUCCCAAUGAUCUGCUGCUCCUGGGAAGGAUUUUCUACCUUGGUUGAAAAAAAAUAUUACCAGUAUAUCCAUUCUAUUCUUACAAGAUGCAUUCAGAUUACAUUUCUAUAUGUUAAAUCACAUCUUAAGUGGCACUAUUUAAACGGAUUCUGGUGAAUCCUUCAGGCAAAGAGCAUUCUGGAUAAAAUAGCUAGCUACCAUGAGUCUAUUUUUUAUAUCAUAUUUCAUUUAAAUGUUUGUUUCAGAGAACAGAACUGAAGUCAGCAGGGAUCCUGCCUUUCUUUGAGAGUACAGGUGGUUCCAGCCCCACUCCACAGUGGUUGUUCAAUAUCACUGAGGCUCCCUCAGCCCUGCUCUGCUGGGAGUUUAUUUCCUGCUACCCUCUUUAACGUGCCCCUCAUUUGAGCCUCCCAACAACUGUGUGAGGCAAGUGGAAUUAGCGCCCUUAUUUUACAGAUGACAAAACUGGAGAGGCUAAAUGAGGUGCAGCUAAUAAUGGUAAUUCAGAUGCAAGUUCUCUACCUCCAAAGGCAAGCAAGCCAAGAAAUCAGAAUGGGGAGGCAGUCCCGUUGGCCUGCCCUGGGCCAGGUCCUCUGGGCAAGCUGGAGUGGCUAUGGGAAUGAGUGUAGGGUGACUAGAACAUUCCUGCCUGAUUUGGGACCUUCAGGAGAGCUGCAGUGGAAGCAAAUGGGAAACCACAAGAGUAGGAGGGGCUAGCUUCUUCCACCUCCAGGGACUCCUAUCUCCUCCCCUUGAAAGGAGGAAAGGAAAGCUGAACACACCCUAGGAAUGUUACAGGGUGUCACCACCUGCAAAGUGGGGAGAGUGGGUCAUGAAGAUGGCCGGGGAUCAGUGGGGGAUGCUGAGGACAAGGACCAGGGGAGGUGGGAUUUUGAAGGACUGGAACAGUAUAAGAAAACUGUGCUGGGGUCUGACUUAUGUGUUCUAUCCUUAGGGCUAACUGUGGGACCCUGCAUCUGUCCUAAGGAGGAAGAUUGGAGGAAGUAUGUGAGGAAGGCCCUAGUGGAGGGCCAUCCCUGAGAAUGUUAAAAUGUGGAGGGAAGAUAACAGUGAUGGUAGUAAAGACCGGUGUACAGAAAGGUGUACAGGUUUCCCUUGCUAUCUGAAAGUUCACUGAGGGCGUGGCCCCACAAGGGGCUUGAUUCCACAAUUCCAAGAUCAUGACCUGAGCUGAUAUCAAGAGUUGGGUGCUCCACAGACUGAGCCAUCCAAGUGCCCCCCUCCACUGUUUUUUAAAUACCACUUUGCUUUUACUGAAGACCUGUGUUAGUACCUGAUCUCACUAACUCAAAGAAAUCCGAAGAGGAUUUUCGCCUUUAUGAAAUGGUAAUUUCUUUCUUGCUCUACUUCAUUUGGCUUAUGAAAGGUUUCACAGGAAUGUCCUACUUUUUAUAACUGGGGAAACCUGCAUAUAUAUGUGUAUAUACAGUAUAUAUUUAUAUAUAUAAAUCUGUGUGUAUAUUCUGUAUAUAUACAUAGCUAUGUGAGAUUAUGGCUAUGUGACAUACAUAACUGAACGAGAUAUAUAUAUAUAUAUAUAUAUAGGGGCUGGGGACACCUGCUGGUUUUCCUUCAAAGAGACAAACUGGCAUGUAAAUAAAAGCCUGUAUACACAUUUAGGAGACACAAAUUCAUUCUCUCUUCUUGUGUAGUAUUAAUCAGACGCUCACUGAGUUCUGUGAAUAUGUCUUCCCUGAGAAUGAUGGAUCACACAUUAGUUGUGUGCCCUUGAACAUGCCCUCUGAGCCUCAACCAUC